rnacentral:tRNA from 1 species
UCCGGAGUAGCUCAGAGGUAGAGUGCUCGGCUCUGGACCGAGAGGGCGCUAGUUCGAAUCUAGCCUCCGGACCC